CCGGUGGUACUCUACUAAUUGGUGAAGGUAUUGAUUUUCUCUAAUCAGAUUUGCAUUCUCAUUUGCUAAUCUGGAUUUCUCAGCAAGCAAUGCCUCCAACUGAAGCCUCACCUGUCCAAAACCAAUAAUACCCAGAACAGUUAUUGAGCCUUUUUGCUUUUCGAUACAAAAGAAUAUUUGAUUUGGGGGGGAAAGAUAUUUUAAGUACCAGAUCAUCUUCUUCUGGUCUAAUUCCUUUACCAAAUCCAUCUCGAAGCCUCCUGUUCUCUUCCUCAAGCAAACUACACCUUUCCUGCAUAAAGCAUAAAUCUGACUUUUUCGACUUCAGUUCCCUUGCAAGUGAAGCUGCCUUUGUGGCCAUGGAAAUUGCAAUCUGUAGAAGACAGUUAAAACAACAGGGAGAAAUUAGUAUAAACUUGAUGGGUUUAUCAUGGUCAAGAAACAGAAUAAGCAUAGAGAGAAACCAACAUUUUUGGCUCUCUUCAUCAUUUUCUUCUCUUUUGGGCUUUCCUCUUUUUGUGUAUGCGAAUCAUCUACUUGACAAUCUGAACAAUCUUCUGGGUCAUACUUCCUCUUCAAACUCUUCUGUGACUCUUGUUUUUCUUCUUGGCUUUGCUUCAAAUCUUCGUGUUUACCUUCCUCCUCUGAAUUCUUUAAAUUGCUUAGAAAUAUUUCAGUCAAUGUGGGUGGCUUCGCUAGAUUUCUAGCUCCCUGGUAAUAACAGAGCAAACAAUAAAGAGUUGAGUCCAAGAUCUCCUCAUUACCAGAAGCCUAAGUUUCUAGAAAGAUUCACCAAAUCUUAUAUUUGUAUCAUGUACUCUUGUGUUUUGGCAAGAUCUCCUUAGCAAUUUGUUUAAAUGAACUGUGCCAAGCAGAUUUCAGAUUUUACGUAAACUCGAAAUCACCUGAAGAGCAUUGUCCAGAUUGUUAGACAGCUGAGACAGAGUUUGUGAAAUUGAAUCAAAUCCUCUCAGCAAAAGCAUAGAAUCUUCCUUCAGCCGUUUACCCGUCCCCGAUUCUCCCACAUCCUUCACCAAAAAAACAAAAAAACAAAAACAACACAAAAUAAAAAAAUAACCGUCACUAACUUAAGGAAAAAAAAAAAAUUAGGGCAGAAAGUGACUGUAUGAAAGGGCAAAGUUGAGUAAGCAGUAUACCUGGGGCGGAAUUUGGCCGCUUACAUCCUUGUUACGAUCUUGAAGAAGGGUUUCGACCCGGCCAUUAAGAGCACUCCAAAAACGGCGAUCUGAAGCAGGACUGAACAGAGGAGAAGUAACCAUGAAGUUUGGAGAUCUCUGCAAUCAAAAGAAACCCUUUAAUUAAUAUUCGAUUACCAUUUUUUCUUUAAAAAAAAAAAAGCGAUUUGGGUCGUGGAUACCUUGUUAACAUGAACUGGAGAUGGUGUAUCGACUGAAGCCUCCAUGAGAGAGAAAGAGAGAGAGAAGUAACGGCUAGUUUAUGGGGGGAAGUCAUUAUGAUGUGAAUUUAAAUAGAGGCACCGAUUUCGCCAACGUUCUAAAAUCUAAUAAUAGUUGAAAGUUGAUUGGGCCCACAACUCUCAAGUUCAACGCGAUCAAGUGGACACCUGACGAAUCUAACGGCCGAUGAUUAUUGAUUGAAGGCGUGAUUGGAGCCCACUGUUGAUCCCGGAACGGGAACAAAAAGCUUCUGUACUUUGUUUAUACUUAAAAUUUACUUGUUAUUUCUUAUUUUUUUUGGAAUUUUCUUUUAUUUAUUUUUUUUUAAUUUCCCCCCCCCUCUCUUGGGUCCUCCUUCCUGAUGAGAUGGUUCCUCACUUUCUGAGCAGGCACAAGAACAUUCUUCAUAGUUCAUCUUUUGAUAUUCUCUUCGAAGCUAAGUUGGAAAUAUCAUCAGCUUGACUUUUAUGCUGCGAUUCAGUUCCCCCCCUAAUGUUUUCUUCCUGCAGUGAUUGUUCUCUUUCCCUGAUUGGUAAGUCCUCUCACUAGAACGGUUGGUUUUUACUCCAGUAAAGAAAGAACCAGGGCACUAUGAUCAUCACAAACAUAGUUAGAAGAUUUAGAAAGAAAUGUGUUGUUUGUUAUUUUUCGGGUUUAUUAUGGAUUGGCAGUGAGUAUCGUAUAAUAAUUGAUUUAACAAUGUCAAUGGCUCAACUUGUUAGUGCUAUUGACGGAGUUAUAAUGAUUAAGUUGAGUUUAUUCUUCAUAAAUCAUGACGUAUUAAAUUUUUCAUGGCAGUUAAAUUUUUCACGAUGAAUAAACAUUGAAAUUAGUUAUAGAACUUGGAAUUGUGUAAGAAUCAAAUUUUACUAUUACAACCAUGUGUGGUAGAAAAGACAUAUACAAUUACAUUGAAAGUGUUACGAAAUUCCUCUGCAUCUAACCUUAUCGAUCUUCUAUUUCUUAUCUUUCUUGAAGCUCUAAUCAACACAAGUCAAAAAAUCGUUGCCUAAUGGUGUUUGGGAAAAAGCUUCAGUAUUAAUUGUUCAUAGGAAGCAAUACAUCUUGGGAAGUUACUCGAUG
rnacentral:lncRNA from 1 species